AUGGUGGAGUCAAGUGGGGCUGAGACGAGGCCCCAGAUUUGGGUCACCAUCAAGACCCCCAAGGACAAGGAGGAGAUCGUGAUCUGCGAUCAAGCCUCCAUCAAGGAGUUCAAGGAGGAAAUCUCCAGGAGGUUUAAGGCUCAGCAGGAUCAGCUGGUCCUGAUCUUUGCAGGCAAGAUCCUCAAGGACAGGGACACCCUGAGCCAGCAUGGACAUGGCAUCAAGGACGGGUUCACAGUCCACCUAGUAAUCAAAACCCCUCAGAAGGCUCAAGAUCCAGUGACUGCCGCUGCUUCUCCUCCAUCCACUCCCGACUCUGCCUCUGCACCCUCCACCACACCUGCCUCACCUGCCGCCCCUGUCCAGCCCUGCAGCUCUGGCAAUACCACUUCAGAUGCUGGCAGUGGAGGGGGGGCCCUCAAGUGCUACUACAUCGAUCCUCUCUGGCUUCGGGGCCAUCCUGGGUCUGGGCAUCCUGGGCCUGGGUUCCACCAACUUUAUGGAGCUACAGCAACAGAUGCAGAGACAGCUCACGUCCAAUCCUGAGAUGCUGUCGCAGAUCAUGGAGAACCCUUUGGUCCAGGAUAUGAUGUCAAACCCUGACCUGAUGCGCCACAUGAUCAUGGCUAACCCCCAGAUGCAUCAGCUGAUGGAGAGGAACCCGGAGAUCAGCCAUGUGCUCAUCAACCCAGAGCUCAUGAGGCGACAAUGGAGCUUGCUCGUAACCCAGCCAUGAUGCAAGAAAUGAUGCGGAACCAGGUCCGCGCCCUCAGCAACCUGGAAAUGUCCCAGGAUGGUAUAAUGCCCCCCACCGCCACAUGUACACGGACAUCCAGGAGGCCAUGUUCACUGCUGCUUGGGAACAGUUUGGCAACAACCUCUUCUCUUCCCUGGCCGGGAACUCUGACAACUCAUCCUCCCAACCUUUUUCGGACUGAGAAUCGAGAGCCCCUCCCUAACCCCUGGAGCCCCUCGCCCUCCACCUCCCAGGCCCCCGGGUCCGGUGGGGAGGGCACCAGAGGAUCGGGGACCAGCCAGGUGCACCCGACAGUCUCAAACCACUUUGGGAUCAAUGCGGCUAGCCUGGGGUCAGGGAUGUUCAACUGCCCAGAAAUGCAGGCACUCCUCCAGCAGAUUUCUGAAAACCCUCAGCUGAUGCAGAAUGUCAUCUCGACCCCUUACAUGCGCACCAUGAUGCAGAUGCUCGCCCAGAGUCCUGACUUUGCUGCUCAGAUGAUGGUGAAUGUGCCACUGUUUGCAGGGAAUUCACAGCUUCGGGAGCAGCUCCGUCUGCAACUCCCUGUGUUUCUGCAGCAGAUGCAAAACCCAGAGUCUCUUUCCAUCCUCACCAAUCCCUGGGCCAUGCAGGCCUUGCUGCAGAUCCAGCAGGGAAGCCCCUGGGCUGGUACUUGGGACACCCUGGACCUCGGUACCUCUGGCAGGCAGCAACUCUGGAUCUUCGGCAGAGGCCCCACUUCUUCCCCAGGCAUGCCAGCCACAUCUCCUCCCGGUGCGGGUUCCAAUGCCCAGCAACAACUCAUGCAGCAGAUGAUCCAACUUUUGUCCGAAGUGGGAACUCUUAGGUGCCGAUGCCAGAAGUGAGAUCUCAACAGCAGCUGGAACAACUCAACUCCAUGGGCUUUAUCAACCGGGAGGCCAAUCUACAGGCCCUGAUCGCCACAGGAGGGGACAUCAAUGCUGCUAUUGAGAGACUCCCGGGCUCCCAGCUCUCCUGA